UCCCUAGUGGCUUAGAUGGUAAAGAAUCUGCCUGCCAAUGCAGGAGACCCAGGUUCAAUCCCUGGGUCAGGAA
rnacentral:tRNA from 1 species